AAAUUCCCCAAAAAAGCCCAAAAUUCCCUUAAAUGCCCCAAAAUUCCCGAGGAAACCCCAAAAAUCCCCCCAAAAUACUCCAAAAAAAUCCAAAAAUUGCCCCACAUUCUCCCUAAAAACCCCAAAAUUCUGCCCAAAAUUCCCCCAAAAAGCCCCAAAAUUCCCCCAAAAAUACCCCGAAAAUUCCCAAAAAAAUUCCCCCAAAAAUUCCCUAAAACUCCCCAAAAUACCAAAAAUUCACCAAAAAAUUCCCGAAAAUUCCCCCAAAAUUCCCCAAGAACGCCCCCAAAAAACCCCGAAAUUCCCCCAAAAAUCCCCAAAAAACCCCAAAAUACCCAAAAAUUCACCCCAAAAUUCCCGAAAAUUCCCCCAAAAAACCCCAAAAUUUCCCAAAAAACUCCAAAAUUCCCCAAGAACGUCCCCAAAAAACCCCAAAAUCCUCCCAAAAAUCCCCAAAAUACCAAAAAUUCCCCAAAAUUCCCCCAAAAACACCCUAAAAACCCCCAAAAUUCCCUCCAAAUUUCCCCAAAACGCCCCAAAAUUCCCCAAAAACCCCCAUUUUUCCCAUAUAAGGUCAUUUCCCCCAUUAACAUCCGCCUCAUUUGCAUAACGCCCUCAGCCCCGCCCCCUGUGGGCGUGGCCUCACCGGCACCUCCUCCCCCAGCAGUGACCCCAAAAUGGCCCAAAAUGCCCCAAAAACUCCCAAAAUUCCCCCCAAAACUACCCAAAACCCACAAAAUUCCCAAAAUAUCCCCCAAAACCUCUGAAACAAUCCCAAAAUUAUCCAAAAGCUCCAAAAUUACCCCAAAAAUUACCCCAAAAUAUCCCCAAAAAAACCCAAAAUUCCCCCAAAAAACCCCCAAAUACCCAAAAAUUCACCCAAUAUUCCCUGAAAAUUCCCCCAAAAGCCCAAAAAUCCCUCAAAACGCCCCCAAAAUCCCGAGAAAACCCCAAAAAUUCCCCGAAAAUACUCAAAAAAAAAUCCAAAAAUUGCCCCAAAUUUGCCCAAAAAUCCCAAAAUUCUGCAAAAAUGACCCAAAAAUACCCAAAAAUUCCACCAAAAAUCCCCAAAUUCCCCAAGAACGCCCCCAAAAAAAUCCUCAAAUUCUCCCAAAAAUCCCUAAAAUAACCCCAAAAUACCAAAAAUUCACCCAAAAAUCCCAAAAUUCCCCAAGAACGCCCCCAAAAAACCCUCAAAUCCCAAAAAAAUCCGCAAAAUAA
rnacentral:lncRNA from 1 species